CUAGAGAUAGAGUCUUCCCCUUCGGGGGACAAAGUGACAGGUGGUGCAUGGUUGUCGUCAGCUCGUGUCGUGAGAUGUUGGGUUAAGUCCCGCAACGAGCGCAACCCUUAAGCUUAGUUGCCAGCAUUAAGUUGGGCACUCUAAGUUGACUGCCGGUGACAAACCGGAGGAAGGUGGGGAUGACGUCAAAUCAUCAUGCCCCUUAUGAUUUGGGCUACACACGUGCUACAAUGGACAAUACAAAGGGCAGCUAAACCGUGAGGUCAUGCAAAUCCCAUAAAGUUGUUCUCAGUUCGGAUUGUAGUCUGCAACUCGACUACAUGAAGCUGGAAUCGCUAGUAAUCGUAGAUCAGCAUGCUACGGUGAAUACGUUCCCGGGUCUUGUACACACCGCCCGUCACACCACGAGAGUCUGUAACACCCGAAGCCGGUGGAGUAACCAUUUAUGGAGCUAGCCGUCGAAGGUGGGACAAAUGACUGGGGUGAAGUCGUAACAAGGUAGCCGUAUCGGAAGGUG
rnacentral:rRNA from 1 species